rnacentral:lncRNA from 1 species
CAGCUUCUUCAAUCUUAUUGAUCCUUUCCACCCAAUUGCCCUUCAUGUCUUUGAUUUUUUGAAUCAUCAAUCUUUUUCUCCUAUUUUUAAUGACACCAUGGAAGAAGGUUGUAUUAGCAUCACUAUACUCAAACCAUUUAACUCUGGAUUUUUUCUUCAAAACACUAUCUUGAAGCUUUAAGAAUCUAGUGAAUUCAGCUUUGGCGUUAUAUAGGUUCAUUUUGUUGAUAGAGCAAUUGUUAGUCAAAAAGAAGUAUCCUCCAAACUUCUGAUGAGGAUCUCUAAUCUAUUAGGUUCCUCAUAAAAAUAUACCCAAAGGUUUCUCUUGACCACAAACUAAGAGAUUUACAAGUAUUCUUGAUCUUCUGAUGAAGGGUAUAUAGAGGAUUCUCUAACACAUUAAUGCCCCAAGCAUAUUGAACUACUUCUAAGAAGUCUUUAUUGUCAUGACAGGUGUUAAGGAAUUUGAGGUACCUUAUAAAAUCAGAUUUGUUGGCAUUGCAUUAAAUGAGGAGAGGAGCAUGAUAAGAACUUGAUCUAGACAUAUGAAUAACAGAGGCUCCUCCAAAAUUGUCAAAUCCGUCUGAGUUGUAAGCAAGCCUAUCAAGUCUUUUCCAGAUGGUGUUAGGAGGGUCUUUGUUGUCACUCCAUGUAAAUAUGGAGCCCAAAAAAACUGUAUCCUGAAGAUCACAAUCAGAUAAGCAAGAGAUAAUAAAGUCAAAGCUUUCUUCUACUCUAUAAGGUCUGCCCCCUAUUUCUUCUUCGGCACUUGUGAUGAUAUUAAAAUCCCCUACUACUCCUCAUAGGCCAUUGACUUUACUAGCAAUGUUCCUGAGUUCAUCCCAUAGGGCACAUCUCUUUUGCUCAUCACAUUUAUUAUAAAUAAUAGUAUAUACGGUCAAAAUCGAUUUUAUCCUUCGUAUAGUUAGUCAAGAUUGGAGCAUGAUGGACCAAGGGUCGUCUUCAUAAUAUCGAGAUGAGAUCCGAAGCCAGGUUAUCAAACUCAAAAUUUAGGGACCGAUCAAUACCGAGCUCAAAAUCAAUAUCGGGAUGAUUCAAUACUGAGCUCAAAGUCAAUAUCGAGCUUGAGUCAAUACCGAGCCCGAGUCGAUAUUGAGUUCGAGUUGAUUAUGAGCUCGAGUCGACAUCGAGCUCGAGAUCCAGAGAUAGAUCAGUACCAAGACCAACCAAGAUCGAACUAUGAGACAAAGAGUCGUUGAAGCUGCACUUAGGGAGAGAAUCUCGGCGGGAAUUAAGGAAAGGCUAAUUAAUUAAUCUAUCAUGAGAUCUCCACUAUGUAUUUUUUAUUAUAUCCAAAGUAGGAAUUUUUCACUAUAUUAAGAGUGGGUAUCAUUUCUGUAAUGGGACAGAUUGAACAGCAAGAGAAGAAAACAUUGAUACUCUCACGUUUCAAAGAUUAUUACACUGAUAUAUAGCAAAGAUUAUCCUUUUUGGUCUUUGAUAUGGAUUCAUCUUACUUGUUUAUAAAUCAUUCUCUACUCAAUUUGGUUUGUAUUUCAUUCCUUUUUUAUAGUCAAUAUUCGAUAUAUAUAUUUCUACUGAAUUUUUCGAUUUGUACCAAGUUAUACCACGUAUCCUUAGAACUACAUAUAAAUUCAACUCUAUUCAUUUUUCAGGUAAACAAAUAGACAUAGAAAAUAAUAAGACUCUAGGAUUGAGUUAUGUGGACUAGAAUAUGUUGUUCAUUGUCUUCAACUAUAUCCAAAGUACAUUCAGAAGAUCAAAAGAUCCAAAUUUUACUAAAGCAAUUAUGGAAGCAUAAAUGAUAGCCAGCAUCCUUGUGUAUUUGUCAAUCUUCCUAGCUCUCACCAUAGUUCUUGAAGGAACAUAUAAGGAAUCUCGUAAUCAUUUUUAAGGGGGCUGAGUCUUUUAGUAGCACUUUGAGAACAUAUCCCUCUAAUAUUUUAUGAAAGAAUACUAAUCAUUAGAAAUAUUAGGGGAUAAGUUUUGUAAUAAUAUCUUUAUACAUUAUUCUUUCAUGGCUGGAGGUACAAAUUUGGGAGUAUGGGAAUUAGAGCAACCUCUAGGAGAGAGGUUGUUGAAGUAGGUAACAUUUUGCAUGGGAGUAUUGGCCACACUUUCCUCCUGAAAAGAGUUUCUACAACUUCUGACAAAUUCAUCAUCGGAUUUAGAGGAAUCAUAGUCUUAUGAUGAUUAUCCGUUACAAUAUCUACCUCACAAUCUUUGUAGGCAGUGUCAUCAAACUUUGCAAUUAUACCUUGAUUACAAGACAAGGUAGGAUUGUUGUUGGAUAUAAUACACGGAAUAUCAAGGACUGGUUCAAUAUCAUCAUUGCAAACUUGCUCUUAAACCGUAACCUUGCUUCCUGGACACAUAUCUAGAAACUAUUGGUCAAGGCGAAAAGGAGGUAUGGUAUGGCUGUAAGUUUGUUAUUCCAGUUGUUCUUCAUUUUCUAAUGAGACAUCAGUAAGAAUGAAGGCUCUUGAGGAAAAUAUCUUAGGCUUUCUAAUCACUCUAUGAUCCUUUCCUUCUUGAACCGGUACUAAGGAAAGAUCCAGCUCUAUAUUGACUUCAUCAAUAACGGGGAGUUGGAUAUUUGUAUCUUGUAGUGGUUUGCUGAUAUUAGUCUUGAUUUUCUGAAAAUUAUUCUUCUUCCUCUAGUUGAGCCCUUUCUCCUUAUCCAGUCUAGUGUGUUUUGUUACUGUAUUGAUUUGCUAGUAGAAAUUAUAGAUAUUGGAGGGUCCUGCAACUUCCAUACUCUCCACUUGACAAGUGAAAUUGUGUAAAACAACAACAGUUCUACUAGACAAUGAAGCCUUAGGAGUUUGAUUUGCUCCUUUGCCAGUUAUAUUUUUAUUAGCUUUGUUCCCUUUAGAUUGAUCUGGAAUGGCCUUGUCAACAUUAUUACUGCUAUUAUUGUUUCCUUGACCUUUCUUAUUAGUCACAGUUUGCCAUCCCUCUUCUUUAGGAUCUUCUCUUAUUUGCCCUAUAUUUAUCUCCCCUUGGGUGGUGUUGUUCCAAUCUGUUUUGUAUGUAGUCUUGGUAGGACCAGUUGAGGAAACAACCUUUCCCAAUUAGUACUAUGAGAAUUCCUCUGUUCCCUAAAUUUGUUUCUGUUGUAAAUACCAUUACUUUGUUCUUUGUUAUUGGUGGGAGGAUCAAUAUUUCUCCCCUCAAUUCUCAGCUCAGGGUGGAGCACUCUGCAAGCAGACUUAUAAUGGCCAUGUACCUUGCAAUGUGAGCAGUAAAAAGGAGUCAAAUCAUAUUUCACUUUUUGAGUGAACAUCUCUAUCUUGCCAUCAGUAUUUCUGAAUUCAACAUUGACUACACUGAGAAGAGGCCUUAUAAGAUCAAUUUCUACACGAACUUUAGCAGUAGUGGGUCUGGAUUUGGAUAUGGUGGUUUUAUCCACGGUGAGAGGAAUACCAAUAGGCUCAACAAUACGACAUAUGGCAUCCCAUUCAUAGUAGCACCAAGGAAGGUCUGGUAAGGUGAUCCUAUCAGGUGCAUGUGAAGAUUCACCAUCAGGUUUGAAUUUAGUUGUCUAUUUAUAUAGAGUCAUCAUUUUAUCUGAACUAACCAUUAUAAAUUUCCUCGAAAUGACAUUCAAAUGAUCAUCCAGAUUGUGGAAGUCGAUAAAUACAUGUUUCAAGUUAUAAGCUCCAAUCUUAAUGGUUCCUUUUCCUGGAAAACAUUUCGCAAAUUCACUACGAAUAAUAUCAAUAGAAGGCCGAAUUCUGGGAAACUUACCAAUAAUUGUCCAUGUACAUGUUUGAACAAGGAUAUUAUUCUCCUCUUUGGUGAAAAUGACAAUGGGUUUAUCAUUGGCAACCUCAUAUGACCUAUGAUGAUGUUUGACGCGAUUUCACUCAGAGAUUGAAGGUCGAUUUCCCAAAGCCCCUUUGUAUGAAGUUUGCGCAGAAUCUUCGGGCACUACAUUUUUGUGCAUGCCCUAUUUAAAGGUGGAGCACUCAAAGGGGAGAUAUCUUUA